GCAUAUCAAUAAGCGGAGGAAAAGAAACCAACAGGGAUUGCCUCAGUAACGGCGAGUGAAGCGGCAAAAGCUCAAAUUUGAAAUCUAGCACCUUCGGUGUUCGAGUGGUAAUUUGAAGAUGGUAACCUUGGGUUUGGCACUUGUCUAUGUUCCUGGAACAGGACGUCAUAGAGGGUGAGAAUCCCGUCUGAUGAGAUGCCCAUUCCUAUGUAAGGUGCUAUCGAAGAGUCGAGUUGUUUGGGAAUGCAGCUCUAAGUGGGUGGUAAAUUCCAUCUAAAGCUAAAUAUUGGCGAGAGACCGAUAGCGAACAAGUACAGUGAUGGAAAGAUGAAAAGAACUUUGAAAAGAGAGUGAAAAAGUACGUGAAAUUGUUGAAAGGGAAGGGCAUUAGAUCAGACUUGGUGUUUUACGAUUAUCUUCUCUUCUUGAGUUGUGCACUCGUAUUUCACUGGGCCAGCAUCGAUUCGGAUGGCAAGAUAAUAGCAGUUGAAUGUGGCUUCACUUCGGUGGAGUGUUAUAGCUUCUGUUGAUAUUGCCUGUCUGGAUCGAGGGCUGCGUCUUUUGACUAGGAUGCUGGCGUAAUGAUCUAAUGC
rnacentral:rRNA from 1 species